rnacentral:rRNA from 1 species
GCGCACCAGUCGCGAAUUUUCUCAAUGGGCGAAAGCCUGAAGGAGCGACGCCGCGUGGAGGAUGAAGGCCUUCGGGUUGUAAACUCCUGUCAUUUGAGAACAAGUGUCGGCAAGUAACUACUGCCGACUUGAUAGUAUCAGAAGAGGAAGGGACGGCUAACUCUGUGCCAGCAGCCGCGGUAAUACAGAGGUCCCAAGCGUUGUUCGGAUUCAUUGGGCGUAAAGGGUGCGUAGGUGGCGCCAUAAGUCAGGUGUGAAAUUUCGGAGCUUAACUCCCGAAACUGCAUUUGAUACUGUGGUGCUUGAGGACUGGAGAGGAGACUGGAAUUUACGGUGUAGCAGUGAAAUGCGUAGAGAUCGUAAGGAAGACCAGUGGCGGAAGGCGGGUCUCUGGACAGUUCCUGACACUG